rnacentral:rRNA from 1 species
ACGAGUGGCGGACGGGUGAGUAAUGUCUGGGAAACUGCCUGAUGGAGGGGGAUAACUACUGGAAACGGUGGCUAAUACCGCAUAACGUCGCAAGACCAAAGAGGGGGACCUUCGGGCCUCUUGCCAUCAGAUGUGCCCAGAUGGGAUUAGCUUGUUGGUGAGGUAACGGCUCACCAAGGCGACGAUCCCUAGCUGGUCUGAGAGGAUGACCAGCCACACUGGAACUGAGACACGGUCCAGACUCCUACGGGAGGCAGCAGUGGGGAAUAUUGCACAAUGGGCGCAAGCCUGAUGCAGCCAUGCCGCGUGUAUGAAGAAGGCCUUCGGGUUGUAAAGUACUUUCAGCGGGGA